UACAACACACUAAGAUCUGAUGAGAUGCUGGGUUCAUGAAUAUUAAUCACAUUGUCAGCGUUCCCUCGAACUGAUUUGCUUAAAUCAAAACAGGGACGUUGAGUAACAGAGUUG